ACUGCAUUAGCUAGGGAGUGGGAGAGGUAGACGGUACUCGGGAGGAAGUGGUAAAAUGCUUUGAUCUCUCGAUGACCACCUGUGGCGAAGGCGGUCUACCAGAACACGUCCGACGGUGAGGGAUGAAAGCUGGGGGAGCAAACCGGAUUAGAUACCCGGGUAGUCCCAGCUGUAAACUAUGCAAACUCAGUGAUGCAUUGGCUUGUGGCCAAUGCAGUGUUGCAGGGAAGCCGUUAAGUUUGCCGCCUGGGAAGUACGUACGCAAGUAUGAAACUUAAAGGAAUUGGCGGGGGAGCACCACAAGGGGUGAAGCCUGCGGUUCAAUUGGAGUCAACGCCAGAAAUCUUACCCGGAGAGACAGCAGGAUGAAGGUCAAGUUGAAGCCUUUACCAGACAAGCUGAGAGGUGGUGCAUGGCCGUCGUCAGCUCGUGCCGUGAGAUGUCCUGUUAAGUCAGGUAACGAGCGAGAUCCCUGCCGCUAGUUGCUACCAUUACUCUCCGGAGUAGUGGGGCGAAUUAGUGGGACCGCCGCAGUUAAUGUGGAGGAAGGAAGGGGCCACGGCAGGUCAGUAUGCCCCGAAAAUCUCUAGAGGAUCCCC
rnacentral:rRNA from 1 species